GAUGAACGCUGGCGGCGUGCCUAAUACAUGCAAGUCGAGCGAACAGACGAGGAGCUUGCUCCUCUGACGUUAGCGGCGGACGGGUGAGUAACACGUGGAUAACCUACCUAUAAGACUGGGAUAACUUCGGGAAACCGGAGCUAAUACCGGAUAAUAUAUUGAACCGCAUGGUUCAAUAGUGAAAGACGGUUUUGCUGCCACUUAUAGAUGGAUCCGCGCCGCAUUAGCUAGUUGGUAAGGUAACGGCUUACCAAGGCAACGAUGCGUAGCCGACCUGAGAGGGUGAUCGGCCACACUGGAACUGAGACACGGUCCAGACUCCUACGGGAGGCAGCAGUAGGGAAUCUUCCGCAAUGGGCGAAAGCCUGACGGAGCAACGCCGCGUGAGUGAUGAAGGUCUUCGGAUCGUAAAACUCUGUUAUUAGGGAAGAACAAAUGUGUAAGUAACUAUGCACGUCUUGACGGUACCUAAUCAUAAAGCCACGGCUAACUACGUG
rnacentral:rRNA from 1 species